rnacentral:rRNA from 1 species
GACGAACGCUGGCGGCGUGCUUAACACAUGCAAGUCGAACGGAAAGGCCCUGCUUUUGUGGGGUGCUCGAGUGGCGAACGGGUGAGUAACACGUGAGUAACCUGCCCUUGACUUUGGGAUAACUUCAGGAAACUGGGGCUAAUACCGGAUAGGAGCUCCUGCUGCAUGGUGGGGGUUGGAAAGUUUCGGCGGUUGGGGAUGGACUCGCGGCUUAUCAGCUUGUUGGUGGGGUAGUGGCUUACCAAGGCUUUGACGGGUAGCCGGCCUGAGAGGGUGACCGGACACAUUGGGACUGAGAUACGGCCCAGACUCCUACGGGAGGCAGUAGUGGGGAAUAUUGCACAAUGGGCGGAAGCCUGAUGCAGCAACGCCGCGUGCGGGAUGACGGCCUUCGGGUUGUAAACCGCUUUCGCCUGUGACGAAGCGUGAGUGACGGUAAUGGGUAAAGAAGCACCGGCUAACUACGUG